GAUGAACGCUGGCGGCGUGCCUAAUACAUGCAAGUCGAGCGAACAGACGAGGAGCUUGCUCCUCUGACGUUAGCGGCGGACGGGUGAGUAACACGUGGAUAACCUACCUAUAAGACUGGGAUAACUUCGGGAAACCGGAGCUAAUACCGGAUAAUAUAUUGAACCGCAUGGUUCAAUAGUGAAAGACGGUUUUGCUGUCACUUAUAGAUGGAUCCGCGCCGCAUUAGCUAGUUGGUAAGGUAACGGCUUACCAAGGCAACGAUGCGUAGCCGACCUGUGAGCGUGAUCGGCCACUGUGGAACUGAGACACCGCCCAGACUCCUACGUGAGGCAGCAGUACGUAAGCUUCCGCAAUGGGCGAAAGCCUGACGGAGCGACGCCGCGUGGGUGAUGAAGGUCCUCGGAUCGUAAAACGCUGUUAUUAGUGAAGAACAAAUGUGUAAGUAACUAUGCGCGUCUUGACGGUACCUAAUCAGAAAGCCACGGCUAACUACGU
rnacentral:rRNA from 1 species